rnacentral:rRNA from 1 species
GAUGAACGCUGGCGGCGUGCCUAAUACAUGCAAGUCGAGCGAACAGACGAGGAGCUUGCUCCUCUGACGUUAGCGGCGGACGGGUGAGUAACACGUGGAUACUCUACCUAUAAGACUGGGAUAACUUCGGGAAACUGGAGCUAAUACCGGAUAAUAUAUUGCACCGCAUGGUUCAAUAGUGAAAGACGGUUUUGCUGUCACUUAUAGAUGGUUACGCGCUGCAUUAGCUAGUUGGUAAGGUAACGGCUUAUCAAGGCAAGGAUGCGUAGCCGAACUGAGAGGGUGAUCGGCCACACUGGAACGGAAACACGGUCCAGACUCCUACGGGAGGCAGCAGUAGGGAAUCGUCCGCAAUGGGCGGAAGCCUGACGGAGCAACGCCGCGUGGGUGAUGAAGAUCUUCGGAUCGUAAAACUCUGUUAUUAGGGAAGAACAAAUGUGUAAGUAACUAUACACGUCUUGACGGUACCUAAUCAGAAAGCCACGGCUAACUACGUG